rnacentral:rRNA from 1 species
GAACGAGCGAGAGAGAGCUUGCUUUCUCGAGCGAGUGGCGAACGGGUGAGUAACGCGUGAGGAACCUGCCUCAAAGAGGGGGACAACAGUUGGAAACGACUGCUAAUACCGCAUAAGCCCACAGCUCGGCAUCGAGCAGAGGGAAAAGGAGCAAUCCGCUUUGAGAUGGCCUCGCGUCCGAUUAGCUAGUUGGUGAGGUAACGGCCCACCAAGGCGACGAUCGGUAGCCGGACUGAGAGGUUGAACGGCCACAUUGGGACUGAGACACGGCCCAGACUCCUACGGGAGGCAGCAGUGGGGAAUAUUGCACAAUGGGGGAAACCCUGAUGCAGCGACGCCGCGUGGAGGAAGAAGGUCUUCGGAUUGUAAACUCCUGUUGUUGAGGAAGAUAAUGACGGUACUCAACAAGGAAGUGACGGCUAACUACGUGCCAGCAGCCGCGGUAAAACGUAGGUCACAAGCGUUGUCCGGAAUUACUGGGUGUAAAGGGAGCGCAGGCGGGAAGACAAGUUGGAAGUGAAAUCUAUGGGCUCAACCCAUAAACUGCUUUCAAAACUGUUUUUCUUGAGUAGUGCAGAGGUAGGCGGAAUUCCCGGUGUAGCGGUGGAAUGCGUAGAUAUCGGGAGGAACACCAGUGGCGAAGGCGGC